rnacentral:rRNA from 1 species
UACGUAGGGAGCAAGCGUUGUUCGGAUUUACUGGGCGUAAAGGGCGCGUAGGCGGCGCGGUAAGUCACUUGUGAAAUCUCUGAGCUUAACUCAGAACGGCCAAGUGAUACUGCAGUGCUAGAGUGCAGAAAGGGCAAUCGGAAUUCUUGGUGUAGCGGUGAAAUGCGUAGAUAUCAAGAGGAACACCGGUGGCGAAGGCGGGUUGCUGGGCUGACACUGACGCUGAUGCUCGAAAGCCAGGGGAGCGAACGGG